UUUAACUUUGCUCGAAAUCUCACCAGCACAAUGGUAUCAUAAUAUAGGAAGAAUGUCCACUUAGAUGUCCCUCUAAUCUCUCAAGUGGACUGCUUCAGUCCAGUUCCCGGCUUUUGAUGGCUGCGACUGGCUGACUCAAAGGCCCACUUUCCUUAAGUUUUUUCCCUCUGUACCUGCUCCUCCACAAAUUCUUCCCAAGAAUAUUUUUAGUCUCAGGUACCUGCUACCCAAGACCCCCUCGAACGUCACAGGGCCGCUUAGAACUAAAACAGUCCCGCAGUCCUUACACGCGCCGGAGCCGCCGAGCCUGUUGCUCCAGGGGCGACUGAGGGCAGCAGAUGGGGAGGGGUCGGCCGGGACUCGUCGCGGGACAGCCCGGGCCUCGGCCCGGUUCCCCCGGACGGAGGCGUCUCGGAGAGGAACUGGACGGCAAGUUUCUCGUACGCAGCCAGGGCGCCAUACUCUGGAAACCGCGCCUCCCGGGCGCGAGCGCGCACGCGAGCGAGCGCCGGAGAGCUAGCUUCACGUCUGUGUGCUGGGCCGGGAAGGAAAAGCGUUGAGACCCCACGGGAGCCCAACGCACAGGCGCAACCGGAGACCGACCCCAGAUGCCUAGGCAAGGAUUGGACCCAGACCUGGCACAGUGUGUAGCCUACCCCAGUGCUCAGCCACCUCUUGCCCAACAGCUGAAUCGAUGUCGGAAUAUCCACAUUGACACUUGGUUUGUUCCUGCUUCAUCCUAACUGUGGGCUCAGAAUGAGGUGCAGCCUUCCCGAGGGGAGGGCCUGCCCUCCGCAAAGCCCUCUGGGGCUGGAGUCUCCCCUAGGAGGUGGAACUUGCCCUGCAGGAAGGAGAUGUCACCGAACAUGUCGCUGCCACCACCACUGCCAAUGUGAAUGGUGUGGCGGAAGUCCCCCAGCGGCGGGCUGAUCA